GCCAGACUCCUACGGGAGGCAGCAGUAGGGAAUAUUGCACAAUGGGGGAAACCCUGAUGCAGCGACGCCGCGUGGGUGAAGAAGCGCCUCGGCGCGUAAAGCCCUGUCAGCAGGGAAGAAAAUGACGGUACCUGAAGAAGAAGCCCCGGCUAACUACGUGCCAGCAGCCGCGGUAAUACGUAGGGGGCAAGCGUUAUCCGGAUUUACUGGGUGUAAAGGGUGCGCAGGCGGAGGCACAAGUCAGCGGUAAAAUCGCGGGGCUCACCCCCGCUCCGCCGUUGAAACUGUGUCCCUUGAGUGCGCGAAGGGUAGGCGGAAUGCGUGGUGUAGCGGUGAAAUGCAUAGAUAUCACGCAGAACUCCGAUCGCGAAGGCAGCCUACCGGCGCGCAACUGACGCUAAUGCACGAAAGCGUGGGUAUCGAACAGGAUUAGAUACCCGAGUA
rnacentral:rRNA from 1 species